GUAUAGGGGCAAUUAGCUUUAGUACAAAUGAGAGAUUGAAAUAAUAAUAUCCUACAAGUCAAUCGCAUAUGUGAUGUGAUGAAAUAUUUUUCUAUAUUUUAUCUUCCAAACUCAUAUAUUUGAUAUUAUUUAUUAAUAAAGAUAGGUAUUUUGAUUCAUUAUAUGCUGCAUCUCAUACCUGUUUAAAAUUAUAAUGAAUCUCAUAGAUUAGGAUAAUGAUUUUAAGGCUAUGAUGAGAUUAUGCCA
rnacentral:lncRNA from 1 species